rnacentral:tRNA from 1 species
GGCGGUAUAGCUCAGUUGGUUAGAGCAGCGGAAUCAUAAUCCGAAGGUCGUUGGUUCGAAUCCGACUACCGCUA